CAGUAGCCGCGGUAAUACGUAGGUGGCAAGCGUUGUCCGGAAUUAUUGGGCGUAAAGGGCUCGCAGGCGGUUUCUUAAGUCUGAUGUGAAAGCCCCCGGCUCAACCGGGGAGGGUCAUUGGAAACUGGGAAACUUGAGUGCAGAAGAGGAGAGUGGAAUUCCACGUGUAGCGGUGAAAUGCGUAGAGAUGUGGAGGAACACCAGUGGCGAAGGCGACUCUCUGGUCUGUAACUGACGCUGAGGAGCGAAAGCGUGGGGAGCGAACAGGAUUAGAGACCCGCGUAGUCCCUGUCUCUUAUAU
rnacentral:rRNA from 1 species